ensembl:lncRNA
CUUGUUUGAAGAGCAGAUACCAAUGGUGAGCUGUGCGCUUGGUGAUCCAGGCUCCUAUGAAAGGGAUUGUCCCAGAAAUGACAGUCUCACAGAGCCAGCUUGUUUGCCCGGAGGAAAGAAUUCACUGAACAGCCACAGACUGCAUUCCAGAACGUUAGCCAACCACUUUGCAAAAGUGUCCCGUUGGGUCAGGGCACGGCCUGCCGCCACUCCUGGCAAAGAGACUCCAAAUGCCUGCCCGUGGGACAGAGGUCUCAUUGCAGGAUGUCAGUUCAGGCGGUCAUGGGAAGACGUCACUGGAGCACAAGGCGAUGACGGUGUUGCUAAGACGUCUGAGAGAAAAUGGCAAAGCAGAGCCCAGAGAGGUUGGUGCAGGCUCCCCGGGUCCCUCGGAAGUGGGGCUGGGCCUCAGAGGAUGUGCGUGAGCUGCCGGCCGAGGUGUGUGUCCCCCCUGGCUUAUCCGCCGAAGGGGCUGAACGGAGGGGGAGCGAGGGCCUCGUCCUGGUGCCUGGAAGCCCAGCGCGGCCAGACUUGGGGAUGGAGCCUCCAAGGAGGUGGCGGAGGUUGAAUGAGGUCAUGGGAGAGAUCCCGCAUCUGAUAGGGUUGAGGCCUCACAAGGAGAGAACCCCAUUCUCUCUCUGCUGUCUCCAUCUCUCUUCCCCAUGAGGACACAGUGAGAAGCCAGCCGUCCACAGACCAGGAAAGACCUCUCACCGGAACUUGCCCGUGCCAGCUCCCUGAUCUUGAUGCCCAGCCUCCAGAACUAUGAGAAAUAAAAUCCUGCUGUUUGGGAGUUCCCGUUGUGGCUCAGGGGUCAUGAACCCAACUAGUAUCCAUGAGGAAGCAGGUUCCAUCCCUGGCCUUGCUUGGUGGGUUAAGGAUCCAGUGUGGCCGUGAGCUGCAGUGCAAGGUGCAAACGCGGCUUGGAGCCCGUGUUACUGUGGCUGCGGUGUGGGCUGGCAGCUGCAGCUCUGAUUCAACCCCUAGCCUGGGAACUUCCACAUGCCGGGGGUGGCACCCUAAAAAGCAAAAUCAAAUCAAAUCAAAUCAAAUCAAAAUAAAGUCCUGCUGUUCAAGCUG